UGGGGAAUAUUGCACAAUGGGCGAAAGCCUGAUGCAGCAACGCCGCGUGAGUGAUGAAGGCCUUCGGGUUGUAAAGCUCUGUCUUUUGGGACGAUAAUGACGGUACCAAAGGAGGAAGCCACGGCUAACUACGUGCCAGCAGCCGCGGUAAUACGUAGGUGGCAAGCGUUGUCCGGAUUUACUGGGCGUAAAGGAUGCGUAGGCGGAUUUUUAAGUGAGAUGUGAAAACCCUAAGCUUAACUUGGGGACUGCAUUUCAUACUGGAAAUCUAGAGUGCGGGAGAGGAGAAUGGAAUUCCUAGUGUAGCGGUGAAAUGCGUAGAGAUUAGGAAGAACACCAGUGGCGAAGGCGAUUCUCUGGACCGUAACUGACGCUGAGGCAUGAAAGCGUGGGUAGCAAACAGGAUUAGAUACCCUGGUAGUCCACGCCGUAAACGAUGAGUACUAGGUGUAGGAGGUAUCGACCCCUUCUGUGCCGCAGUUAACACAAUAAGUACUCCGCCUGGGAAGUACGAUCGCAAGAUUAAAACUCAAAGGAAUUGACGGGGGUCAUAGCUGUUUUU
rnacentral:rRNA from 1 species